rnacentral:lncRNA from 1 species
CUGCCUUCUGAUAUUCUCCCUCUCUCAAAGGUUCCCUGGAAUCCAAGCCUCUCUCAUCCUCUCCAAUCAUAACCUCACCGGAAUUAAUGGCUUCUCAGGCCAUGGAAAGCCUAUACUCACCCCCUCCACCUUUAAACCAUGGGUGUUCAAACUUUCGAGGUUUGACCUCGAUGGUAUUCUUUUAAAUAUUCUCGGAUUCAUGAAUUUGAGGCCUAUCCGGCCUCACUCGGCAUAUCCAGCAGCAGGAGCCUAUUUCUAACCUUUCCG